rnacentral:tRNA from 1 species
UCUCUUGUAGCUCAGUCAGUAAAGAAUCUGCCUGCAAAGCAGGAGACCUGGAUUCAAUUCCUGGUUUGAGAA